GUGGGGAAUAUUGGGCAAUGGGCGAAAGCCUGACCCAGCAACGCCGCGUGAAGGAAGAAGGUCUUCGGAUCGUAAACUUCUAUCCUUGGUGAAGAUAAUGACGGUAGCCGAGAAGGAAGCCCCGGCUAACUACGUGCCAGCAGCCGCGGUAAUACGUAGGGGGCAAGCGUUGUCCGGAAUGAUUGGGCGUAAAGGGCGCGUAGGCGGCCUGGUAAGUCUGGAGUGAAAGUCCUGCUUUUAAGGUGGGAAUUGCUUUGGAUACUGUCGGGCUGGAGUGCAGGAGAGGUAAGUGGAAUUCCCGGUGUAGCGGUGAAAUGCGUAGAGAUCGGGAGGAACACCAGUGGCGAAGGCGACUUACUGGACUGUAACUGACGCUGAGGCGCGAAAGUGUGGGGAGCAAACAGGAUUAGAUACCCCUGUAGUCC
rnacentral:rRNA from 1 species